rnacentral:rRNA from 1 species
CCUACGGGUGGCAGCAGUGGGGAAUAUUGCACAAUGGGGGCGACCCUGAUGCAGCGACGCCGCGUGAGUGAAGACGUAAUUAGGUGUGUAAAACUCUAUCAGCAGGGAAGCAAAUGACGGUACCUGAGUAAGAAGCGCCGGCUAACUACGUGACAGCAGCCGCGGGAAUACGUAGGGGGCCAGCGGUAUCCGGAUUUACUGGGGGUAAAGGGAGCGUAGACGGAAGUGCAGGGCUGGAGGGAAAGGCGGGGGCUCAACCCCCGGACUGCUCUGGAAACUGUACGGCUGGAGUGCAGGAGAGGUAAGUGGAAUGCGUAGUGUAGCGGUGAAAUGCGUAGAUAUUAGGAGGAACACCAGUGGCGAAGGCGGCUUACUGGACUGUAACUGACGUUGAGGCUCGAAAGCGUGGGGAGCAAACAGGAUUAGAUACCCUUGUAGUC